UACGAAGGGGGGCUAGCGUUGCUCGGAAUUACUGGGCGUAAAGGGCGCGUAGGCGGAUGUUUAAGUCGGGGGUGAAAGCCCAGGGCUCAACCCUGGAAUUGCCUUCGAUACUGGACAUCUUGAGUGCGGGAGAGGUGAGUGGAACUCCGAGUGUAGAGGUGAAAUUCGUAGAUAUUCGGAAGAACACCAGUGGCGAAGGCGGUCUGCUGGGGUGAGGCUGACGCUGAUGCGCGACAGCGUGGGGAGCAAACAGG
rnacentral:rRNA from 1 species